rnacentral:rRNA from 1 species
GAUUAACGCUGGCGGUGUGCUUAACACAUGCAAGUCGAACGGUCCCGACGCAAGUCGGGAUAGUGGCAAACGGGUGCGUAACACGUUGGAACCUACCUCGAAGUGGGGGAUAACUAGUCGAAAGAUUAGCUAAUACCCCAUGGUCUCGUAAGAGUAAAGUCUCACGACGCUUCGAGAGGGGCCUGCGGCCUAUCAGCUAGUUGGUAAGGUAACGGCUUACCAAGGCUAUGACGGGUAGCUGGAUUGAGAGAUCGACCAGCCACAGGGGAACUGCGACACGGUCCCCACUCCUACGGGAGGCAGCAGUGGGGAAUUUUGGACAAUGGGGGCAACCCUGAUCCAGCAAUGCCGCGUGAGUGAAGAAGGCCUUCGGGUUGUAAAGCUCUUUUGUCAGGGAAGAAACAGCAGCUUUAAUACAGCAUGCGAAUGACGGUACCUGAAGAAUAAGCACCGGCUAACUACGUGCCAGCAGCCGCCGUAA